CCUACGGGGGGCUGCAGUGGGGAAUAUUGCACAAUGGGCGCAAGCCUGAUGCAGCCAUGCCGCGUGUGUGAAGAAGGCCUUCGGGUUGUAAAGCACUUUCAGCGGGGAGGAAGGCGUUAAGGUUAAUAACCUUGGCGAUUGACGUUACCCGCAGAAGAAGCACCGGCUAACUCCGUGCCAGCAGCCGCGGUAAUACGGAGGGUGCAAGCGUUAAUCGGAAUUACUGGGCGUAAAGCGCACGCAGGCGGUCCGUCAAGUCGGAUGUGAAAUCCCCGGGCUCAACCUGGGAACUGCAUUCGAAACUGGCAGGCUAGAGUCUUGUAGAGGGGGGUAGAAUUCCAGGUGUAGCGGUGAAAUGCGUAGAGAUCUGGAGGAAUACCGGUGGCGAAGGCGGCCCCCUGGACAAAGACUGACGCUCAGGUGCGAAAGCGUGGGGAGCAAACAGGAUUAGAUACCUGGUAGUC
rnacentral:rRNA from 1 species